ACCAGGUUUAUGAGUGGCGUUGCUCCAGACAACUGGUUGAUAUGUCUGUGAGUACCAAGUAUGCUGCCUCAAAGUCUUCGCAGGUUUGCCAUGUUUGAGCUGAGGGGUUUGCUCCAAUUAUUCAUAAAGAUGGAGAUGUCAUGUAGCUGGAAUAUCUGUGACUGUGACAAACAAACAACAGUUUCUCAACUGUAGACAAGGGGGAGGUAAUUUGCAACAUUGGUGGAAGAGUAAGCUCCCUUCGGUCUGUUGUUCUGAGGAGGAUAUUUGAAAUUAUUUUCUUGACCCUGACCAUUAUUUUUUAUUUGUUGGAUCACAGAUUGUCAAAGUCAGACAUCUGAGUUGGGAUCAGCCAGGAUCAGCUGCACAUUGGAAGCCCGCGCCAUUCCCCAGACCCUUUGGUAGACUGUUUAUCCUGGAAGAACAAGAUUGUGUCGACAGGGUGGUCUCUACAUCUUGACUUGUUUGCAAUGUGUCUCGAGCACAAGCUCCCCAUCCCUGCGAAGAAAACUGCCACAUCCAAGGGAGAUAAUCCACUUUCAUCGCACUUGCCAAUCAAGCUCCUUCAGUAACCUUUGCUGUCUAGUGAUGUCCAUGUCAAUUCUCACCUGUGCAACACCUGGGUCACCUACUUUCCUCCAUCUUCCCGAGGCAAGG